rnacentral:misc_RNA from 1 species
GUAUUUCAUUGCGUUAAACGCGACAUACAUUCCAUUAGACUUUAUUUCGGUGUGUGUGUAAAGACAUAGAACCACAGCAAGAGGACAGAGUCCCCCAAGCCACAGAACUACAGAGGGUGCACAGGUGUGAGUGGAUGUGCAAACAGAGUGUGCACAUGCCCCCGUUUGAGGACCAGCAACAACUCGUGUUGACAAUUCAGUAAUGAUCCUUCCGCAGGUUCACCUACGGAAA